ensembl:lncRNA
UCUGGUGUGGAAAUGCCAGAGUGGUACUGACUUUCAGGACUCUGGAGGGCCAGUCUCCAGGACAGACUUCACAAGGACAGUGUCUCUUGGAGUUUCAGAUCCAGAUCCAGGAGAGUAGAACAAACUGUGACUUCUGCCUAAAAGACAAGCCUUGGCACAUCUGUGGGGGCCGCGUCUCCCUCUGCCUUGGGGUUUACCAUUUUCUUCUGCGGGGACCAUGGCGAGACAUCCAUGAGACUAGCAGCUUUCUAAGGUGCUGGAGGAUUUUCUCCUCCUCUCAACCAGGGCAGGCAGUUCUGUGGCCACCGCAGGCCAGACCGCUGCAUGGCU